rnacentral:rRNA from 1 species
UACGGGGGGGGCAAGCGUUGUUCGGAAUUACUGGGCGUAAAGGGCUCGUAGGCGGCCAACUAAGUCAGACGUGAAAUCCCUCGGCUUAACCCGGGAACUGCGUCCGAUACUGGCAGGCUUGAAUCCGGGAGAGGGAUGUGGAAUUCCAGGUGUAGCGGUGAAAUGCGUAGAUAUCUGGAGGAACACCGGUGGCGAAGGCGGCAUCCUGGACCGGUAUUGACGCUGAUGCGCGAAAGCCAGGGGAGCAAACGGG